UCGGCCAGGGGUAGUAUAGUCUUUUUCUCAUGCGAUAGGUCGGAGGGGUAGCGACAGCUCCUCACAGACCUAACAGAAGGGCAAAGAAACCAAACAAAUUUCAAUCUGGGGCCAAUAGAUAAGUUUAGUUGCAAAGGAGUCAAGGAACGAAGCCCAACUUUUUUUAAGACCAAGCAACCAAUUUACUCUUUUCUUAUUCCUUUGCAUUUGGGGCUGGCGGGAAAACUGGCGCCAGAACUGGCUAUACAACCAGUGCCCCUCUCCUCCUUUCCAUCCAUCAUUCCUACUCCAUUUCUUUCUCUCUACCCUCUUAUCUUCCACAGCUGAGAAGCCGGCCACCAUGUCCCAAGCUUUGAGCAGCAACGGUACGAGGAGGGUGUUCUGCCCGAACUGCCACGCUGUGGUAAACUGGUUCAUGGCCGGCACGGAAGGAAAUGAAGGGCGUGGUUUCUACAAGUUGGCAGCUGCCAGUACUUCCAGUAGGAGGAUUUGAUUGGAGAAAACUCACAACAGGGAAGAGCUGCUCCUGUGCGUGUGCUUCCUCAAAAUCUUCAUCAAGCUAAUCAAGUUCUCCCAGUUGUUCCAGUGGGAGAUGAAGCUGUGAUAGAGGAAGGAGAAGUCAGAGGUGCUGUUCAAGGAAGAGAAGCUUGAGCAACUUUAAUGGAUUGAGAAGCUUCUUUAUGUCUGCAUCUUUCUUGUUCUGUAUGCCAUAUGUAAAAAGUGAAGUGAUGUAAUGACUGAACUAUUUGCCUAAUUGACGGAAGAAUAUUUGCCAGAAGUA